UGAAAUCUUCGGGGCAGGGUUAGAUUCCCGAUCGGCGGUGAUAGUCCGCGAAUCAGUGAGCUGAUAGAACUAGUGAAAUUCUAGUACCGACUGUAAAGUCAGAAUGGGAGAAGAUAGUA
rnacentral:ncRNA from 2 species